GGGGCCGUAGCUCAACUGGGAGAGCGCAUCCUUCGCAAGGAUGAGGUUAAGGGUUCGAUCCCCUUCUGCUCCA
rnacentral:tRNA from 1 species